UUAAAGAUGUGAGUCCCAAACUUCCAAGAAAGACAUGGCAAGAGGUUAGAAAAUCAGGUUCACAAGAGCUCCAAGAAACAUCAUGCCUUUCGAAAAUGAACUGAAAUCACUUCAUCUCUGCCAUGAAUUUCUCAUACUCUGAAUCAGCUCCAUACGACGUCUUUUCGGCCAAUGAGUUGGGAGGUGGAAUAGCUGCAUUUCCAAUGCUUUGGGAUUGAUCUGCAGAUG
rnacentral:lncRNA from 1 species